UAGCCUUUUUCUUAAUGGUAGAGUACUUACUUGAUAAGUAAGAGGUGUUAGUUCAAUUCUAGCAAGGCUUA
rnacentral:tRNA from 1 species